rnacentral:lncRNA from 1 species
GGGUUGUAUGGCUUUUUUAUUCCCUUUGGCUUUUUGUAGAAGCCAGACAGAUACCACCUCAAAACUUGCUUCAUUCGACUGUACGGAUCAUCUUCAAGGGCAGCCUGGGAAAGCAGGUCAGCAUGGUAGUAGUAAUCGGAGAGCUUGUUCAGGAAUGAGCGUGGCUCCAGGAUGAAGGUGGGAAGCACCACCCGAGACAGAUCCAUGCCAGGCCGCAGCUGCUUCAGCAGGAUCCAUAUCAGGCUCUUGUUCUCCUCAGAGACAGUUUCUGUUUGAGACGAUUCACCUGUCUCUCCGAAUUCCUCAUAGAUCUGUUCAACGUAAGUUGUCCCUUUCCUUCCCGGAGAAACCUCUCCAUGGAUUUCUGACUGAUCGCUCUCGCUUUCAUUUGUCUUCCGGCUGUUCUCCUGCGUUUCAUUCUCCGACUCUUCCAUGUUGUCUCUCUCAGACUUGUCCGAAAAAGCAUCAUUUUCCAACUGGUGGUGGUUCUCCAAGGCUGAAUCGUUCAAAUGGAAGAACUCCUGCUCUGAGAUGGUGCUUGCGUGCAAGCCAUUGUUGAGCCCCGCAGGUGCAGAAUCACUUGAGCCAUUCAUUUCUCCAUCCUUU